rnacentral:lncRNA from 1 species
UGGAAAUUGUGGUGAAAGAAGCUACGAAUGAGAUAAAUGUGUGUUCUUUCCACCCCUAAAAACAGUGUCACCACCACUCAUCCUUGAAACCAUCAGCAGCAGGGAAACCUGUGAGCGACGUUCACGUCUAGUGUCCAGUGCCUUGCGUGGUCCCAAUCACAAACCCCUAGCUCAGGGGCAGCGGGGCCAUGAACUAGGGAGGCCGCCGUAAUGACAGCCUGGCAGGAACCCUAUGUCCAAACCAGAGGAGCCCCCUCAGAGCAACCUCCACAGGCAGUGCUGCUGUCAAGGAAAUGCCAGAGCCGGGUGGUAGUUAACAUGGCCCCACUGGAAAUAGGACUGUCCAAUUCACCUGGCAGCCACUCCCAGAGCCCCUGGAACUCUGGCCCAAGGCUCUCUGACUGACUCCUUCCCAGAUUUUCUUGGCUUAGUGGCUGAAGACUGACGCUGCCCGAUCGCCUUG